AUUGAACGCUGGCGGCAGGCUUAACACAUGCAAGUCGAGCGGAGAUGAGGUGCUUGCACCUUAUCUUAGCGGCGGACGGGUGAGUAAUGCUUAGGAAUCUGCCUAUUAGUGGGGGACAACAUUCCGAAAGGAAUGCUAAUACCGCAUACGCCCUACGGGGAAAGCAGGGGAUCUUCGGACCUUGCGCUAACAGAUGAGCCUAAGUCGGAUUAGCUAGUUGGUGGGGUAAAGGCCUACCAAGGCGACGAUCUGUAGCGGGUCUGAGAGGAUGAUCCGCCACCCUGGGACUGAGACACGGCCCAGACUCCUACGGGAGGCAGCAGUGGGGAAUAUUGGACAAUGGGCGGAAGCCUGAUCCAGCCAUGCCGCGUGUAUGAAGAAGGCCUUUUGGUUGUAAAGCACUUUAAGCGAGGAGGAGGCUACCUGGAUUAAUACUCUAGGAUAGUGGACGUUACUCGCAGAAUAAGCACCGGCUAACUCUGUGCCAGCCGCCGCCGUAAAAC
rnacentral:rRNA from 1 species